rnacentral:lncRNA from 1 species
UAAAAAAAAAAAUGUAUAUAUCUAUUCUAAGUGCGGAAGCAAAAUAAAAUAGAUUAUGAUUAACAUCCCUUGUACAAUAAUCAAAACAAAUUAAACGUAUGAAAGAAUAAACUAACUUAAAAGAAAUACUAUGAAUGAAUGCUAUAAGAAAAACUAAUAAAUUCUUUGGCUUUUACUGGCCGUCUUCCUGCAGAACGGGCUCGGGAACCAAGUCCUCCUG